AUGCCUGCAAUCUUUUUUAAGAGAUUCUGGGGCACUGUAGGAGAGCAAGUAACCAAGGAGGUGCUCAAGGUGUUGAGAGGUGGUGAGAUGCCUGAAGAGUGGAACAACACCAUGAUAGUUCUGAUUCCAAAAACAACUAGACCAGAGAGAUUGAAGGAUUUGCGACCCAUCAGCCUCUGCAAUGUGGUCUACAAACUAAUAUCAAAGAGGAAGAGGGGUGGAAGAGUAAGUUAUGCUGCUAUCAAACUUGACAUGAGCAAGGCUUAUGAUCGAGUUGAAUGGAAGUUCUUGCAAGGAAUCAUGUUGAAACUCGGUUUCAAUAGAAGUUGGGUGCAGCUCGUGAUGAAUUGUGUGACAACGGUGAAAUACCAAAUCAAAGUUAAUGGGGACGUCACAGAGAUAAUUAUUCCUGAGAGGGGGCUUCGUCAAGAUGAUUCACUUCUUCUCUUAGAAGUAAAUGCCGACAACAGUCGCGAGCUUAAUCAAAUUCUGGACUCCUAUGAAGCUUGCUCGGGCCAGGCUAUAAAUAAGGAAAAGUCAGCCAUCUUGUUCAACAAGAAUACAAAGCUGGAGGACAAAGAGGAGCUCAUGAAUCAGCUAAAUAUUGCUAUAGAAGGCUUCUCCGGAAAAUAUUUGGGUUUACCAUGCUAUAUUGGUAGAUCAAAAACCAAAGCUUUUGAAUAUAUCAAGGAAAAAGUAUGGAAAAGGUUACAAGGUGGGAAAGAAAAAUUGCUCUCAAAGGCCGGUAAGGAAGUCCUCAUCAAAGCUGUAGCGCAAGCAAUCCCUGUUUAUGCGAUGGCAUGUUUUGACCUCACCAAAUCUGUGUGUGAAGAUGUCAGCUCAAUGAUUGCGAGGUUUUGGUGGAGUCAAUUGGAUAAAGAAAAUAAAAUCCACUGGGUUGGAUGGGACAAGCUCACAAAACCCAAAAAUGAUGGAGGGCUGGGAUUUAGAGACCUAUAUUCUUUCAACUUAGCUAUGUUGGCAAGGCAGGCUUGGAGAAUGCUACAAAACCCAUCUUCCCUAUGCGCUCAAGUGAUGGCUGCUAAAUACUAUCCAAAUCAGAAUCUGUUACAAGCGAGGCCAAGAGAUGGCAUUUCAUAUAGUUGGAGAAGCAUUUUGAAAGGAGUGCAGGUGUUGCAAAGUGGAAUCAUAUGGAGAGUAGGAGAUGGACGCAAUAUCAAUAUAUGGGCAGAUCCUUGGCUACCAAGGGGUGUUUCUAGGAGAGUAACAUCUCAGCAAGGUAGCCAUGUUAUCACAAAUGUUUCAGAUUUGAUUGACCCUACCUCUGGCACAUGGGAUUUACAACUGAUUGAUCAAACUUUCAACAAAGAAGAUGUAGAGGUAAUUGUCCAAAUUCCGAUCCGAGAGGGUGCUAAGGACACUCCUGCCUGGCAUUUUGACAAAAAGGGUAUAUUUUCAGUAAAAUCUGCAUAUCAAGUAGUGUUGGAAAACCAAGCCAGGAACUCUGCACAUGGUGGAGCUUUGUCAUCAAGUAAGAAUGAUCAGCAUAGGAUAACAUUUUGGAAGAAACUAUGGACGUUGCCCUUGCCCAACAAGAUCCUGCACUUCCUAUGGCGACUGGCCCAUUAUAGCUCACCUCUAAGAAUGAAACUACAGAAUAGAGGAAUGGAAGUGGAUACAAGAUGUCCACUAUGCCAUCGAAUGGAUGAAGAUGGAGGUCAUUGUUUCCUAAAGUGCAAAUUUGUCAAGGCCGUUUGGAGAACUGCAUUGUUGGAAGAAAGUCGGAUGCAACUUCUCAAUUGCCCAAAUGCCAUCUCGAUGGUGGAGGAUAUCUUGCACAUGAAAGAGGAAAAAUGUCUGAAAAUAUGCAUCCUUUUGUGGUUAUGGUGGUCUGAAAGAAACAGAACUAAUCAAGGAGAAAGGAUUAGGACCGAAGAGGAAAUUAUAUAUUCAGUUCAGCUGCACUUGUUGGAAUACAAAAAAUACAUCAAGCAACAGAGCAAAAUGUGCAGGCUGUAA
rnacentral:rRNA from 1 species